rnacentral:lncRNA from 1 species
CUGUUGCAAACUUACGUAUGUGGGAGAAUCUAUUUUUUUCAAGUGACUCCUUGGAAUUGAUUCCAAGAUGAUGCUCUCAGCACUUUAGUUCCUAUCAUUUUUUUUCUAUUUCUGUUUUUUCCUCCCCAUCUCAAAUGUAAGCUACUAGUCUCUAGGGGGAAGCAUAAUGACACAGAUGUGUUAGUAUUACUUUUGAGGCUUUGUUCCAGUGUGCAGAAUUGUGUAAUUCUGACACUCUAAUCAUAUAAAGGGUUGCUGCCCACUGUGACUUCUGUGAACCCCAAGGAGGGACUCUGGAACAAAUGCCCCAACACCGUGAUCAGAGCCUCCAGACACUGCCAAGAGAAACUAGAGGGUUCCUCGGGCCCCCUUUCCAUCCAGUGUUAGGAGAGGGGGAUGCCAGCUUCUCUUUACUGUAGCCACUAGCACUUGAUCAGUCCCCCUCAGCCAAAGCACUUUGUUCACUGUCCUGUGUCAGAGCACUGAGCUCCACCCUUUCCUGAGAAUUACAGCCAGAAAGUAUGAGGGCUGAAGGUGGUGGUGUCAUUGAUUUUAUAUUUUGUGUAACUUUUUGUAUGAUGAAAACUAUAUUUUAUACUUAACCAGAUGUAUUUUGACCCCAAGUGGGGGUGUUUGUAAAAAAUUUAAAAAUAAGAAGUUUUUUAAUGGUAAAAAAAAAGAAAGUAUCUUAUUUCUCCAUCAAUUUUGAAAAAUAGUUUUGCAGGGUACAUCAAUCUGGGUUGGAAGUUGUUUUCCUUUAGGGCUUGAAAUACAUCACUCCAAGCUCUCCUUGCCUUGAGGGUUUGCUUUGAGAAGUCUGCUGUGAUUCUAAUGGGCUUUCCUUUGUAUGUGACUUGUUUCUUUUCUCUAACUGCUUGUAGAAUUUUGUUCUUCUGCUGGGUUUCUGGAAUCUUAACAAUUAUAUGCCUAUGUGUAGAUUUUUUUGAUUAAGGCUAUUUGGAGUCCUAUAUGUCUCAGUUAUCUGUAUGUCAAGUUCUUUUCCUCUGCUUGGGAAGUUUUCUGCCAUCGCUUCUGUGAACAGUUUUUUAAUGUCAUCUGCACUCUCUCCUGUUUCUUCAUUGACUCCAGUCUUAUGUUAUUCUUCUUUGCAUCAUCUAGCAGC